rnacentral:rRNA from 1 species
CAGUCGCCGCGGUAAUACGAGGGGGGCAAGCGUUGUUCGGAAUUAUUGGGCGUAAAGGGUGCGUAGGCGGUUUGGCAAGUUUGGUGUGAAAUCUUCGGGCUCAACUCGAAGUCUGCAUCGAAAACUGCCGGGCUUGAGUAUGGGAGAGGUGAGUGGAAUUUCCGGUGUAGCGGUGAAAUGCGUAGAUAUCGGAAGGAACACCUGUGGCGAAAGCGGCUCUCUGGACUGUAACUGACGCUGAGGCGCGAAAGCGUGGGGAGCAAACAGGAUUAGAUACCCCUGUAGUCCCUGUCUCUUAUAC